rnacentral:rRNA from 4 species
UCAUAGAAUUUCUUUAAAUUCAUGAUGUCGUAAGGGAAAAUAAUGAUAUUACCUUACUAUGAGUGUCGUCCAAAGCUGGUGCCAGAAGACUCGGUAAGACCAGAGACGCAAACGUUAAUCAUCUUAAACAGGCGUAAAGGGUUUGUAGGCAGCUUUCAUAAUAUUAUUUCUUACAAAAAUAAAGAAGUGGUCUGAUUGAAAGCUAGAAUCAAAAAGAGGUUAUAGUGUAUAACGCCUAGAGGAGGGCUGAUAUCCUUAGAUCCUAGGCAGAAUACUUAGGGCGAAGGCCACUCUCCACUAAUGAUUGACGCUGAGAAACGAAGGUAAGGGUAGGAAAUAGGAUUAGAUACCCCGGUACUCCUUUCUGUAAACGAUGAAUGGUAGUCAUUAGUAAAAUUAAAAAUUACUAGAGACGAAGUUAACACAAUAACCAUUCCGCCUUGUGAGUACUACUGCAAAGUAGAAAACAAAAAAAUUAGUCGGUCUCGAAGCAAACGGAGUGAAGCAUGUUAUUUA